GACGGCAGUUUCCGAGUCCACCUCGACGCCGCCGCCGUCGCAAACCAUAAAAAACACCCUCCACUACCCACCCCAAGUCCCCAAACACCACCUCUCCGGUCUCCGACGGCGAGGCGCAGGGGUUAGCAGGGGGUUGUCGGGGGCGGCGAUGGGGGAGUACGCGGCGGCCAAGACGGCGGUGUGGUGGGACAUCGAGAAUUGCGCCGUCCCCCGCAACUGCGACCCCCACCUCAUCGUCCAGAACAUGAGCUCCGCCCUCGCCACCGCCGGCUACGUCGGCCCCAUCUCCGUCUCCGCCUACGGCGACACCAGCGGCAUCGCCCACAACGUCCAGCACGCCCUCUCCAGCACCGGCGUCUCCCUCCACCACGUCCCCGCCGGCAUUAAAGAUGCAAGUGAUAAGAAGAUCUUGGUUGACAUGCUGUUCUGGGCUAUUGACAACCCUCCGCCAGCGAAUUAUUUGCUAAUCUCUGGUGAUCGGGAUUUCUCUAAUGCCCUUCAUAAGCUUAAGAUGAGGCGGUACAAUAUUCUUUUAGCACAACCUCCAAAUGUGUCUCAAACGCUUACUGCUGCGGCAAAGAGUGUUUGGCUCUGGAGAAGCCUUGUGGCUGGAGAACCACCAUUAGCAGUGUCACCAUACAUAAGCAGCGCAUCAAGUGGCAAUAAGGAUAAUUUGGAUACGUCAAGGAACACUGUUCCAAAUUCUUCAGCCGCGGCUCGAGAUACUAACCCUCAAGUGCAGAAUCCUUCUCAGCAUGAUUAUCAAAAUGGUGGUAAUGGUAAGGUAGAUAAGCAACCCAAAGUGAAGCAACCUCGGAAAAAUCAGACAGAUAAUGCAUCUAAACCAGCAGGCAAAAAGGAAAACUCAGUUGAUGGAGUCGCUGAUAAUUCCAAAGGAAGCACUGCUAGCCAACCAAGUCAGCCUUCUACACCAUCAUCAAGUUCUUCAUCAAGUCCUGAACCCCAGAGUAGGGCAAAGGCGAACCAGACAAGUAUACCUAAAAACCCACCCCUUUUCCUGCCUAAAAAGCCUGCAAAACCCACUAAUUCCCAUCAAAAGAGUGUUCCUCAUGACUAUUUUGGUAGUAAGAAGUCUGGUGUGUCAACUGAAUCUGCACCGAAAAAUGGUGCUCCUGAUUCUGGCCAUGGUAGUGGCCAUAAUCAUCCAAAACACCAUAACCAAUCCUCUCAGCCGCCAAAACCACAUAAUCCAGUGACUCCUCGUCCUCACAAUGGACCUGGUAAUUUUCACACAUCAAAUUUACAUAGAAGUAGUUCAUGUCCACCACAAGCUCCACAAGCUGGGCAUACUGGUGUUCCCACUGCACCACUGCAGUCCUGGCCAAGUGCUCCUCCUCCCCCCUAUCAUGUCCCGCCAGUUAAUUAUCCUGAUAUGAGUCGGCUGAAUAUUUCUGGAUACCCCAUAGGGGCUCAUGACAACCAAGGUUCAAACGUUAGCUACCAUCCAAACUAUUCUGGUGCUGUUCAGCCUCCUUACAAUAAUUAUAGUUACAGACAUCCAACUCCACCUAAUAUAUCCAGCAACAUGCAGAAUGCUGGACAAUGGGGUGCAAACACUGGAUGUCCGCAGCCAUCUUCUGACUCUCAAAUUCUUAUAAGAAAUAUCUUAAGUGCUUUGGAAGUACUGAAGACUGAGAAGCUUGCACCAACCGAACAGCAUAUAUCAGAUUGCGUACGUUAUGGAGGUGCUAAUCUACCACAAUUUGAUGUUAAGAAGGCUCUUGAAGUUGCUAUUCAGCAUCAAGCUAUCGUAACGAAAAAGUUAGGACUUGUGUCAUUCUUUCUGGGAAAAGAUGAAAAUCUCUGGAAAUGCGUGAAUAUAAUGGAUAACAAUGCUAGGCACUCAAAAGAGACUCUAGAUACUGUUCAUAGGUACAUAUCUACUGCCCCUGGAUGUUCUGCGAUAAAGAACUCUCAAUCAAGGUAUCACGCUGCAACUCUGUUGAAGAAAACAUGCUUGAAACGUCUUUCCCUUGGCGAAGUUCUUCAGGUUUUGUAUAUCGCAACCGAUAAAAUGAAGUGGUUUGUUCCUCACUCUUCAGGCUGGCAGCCUCUCUCAUGGAACGUGAUAGUGGCUGAUACUGCUCCAGAUGCUAGUGGAAAAUCCUAGCCUGGCUACAUUUCUCUUCUCACAUUGGAUGGACAAUUUGAGUUCUGGUAGUUGGUACAAACUCUUGAAAGGCUGUGGUCUGGUGAGGUUAGAACUAAUAUGGUGGCCCAGUCUACAUUUUGCCAGUAUUUCCGUUUCAGAAUGAUGUCGCGGGUAGUUUAAACUUGGUGUAUGAGCUCUGGUUUCACUAUUGUAGAAUGGUACUUCUGUCAGUUAGUUGGUUUUUGCAAUUCGAAGACACGGAGGGAUACAGAAGGUUCAUGAUCUUUUGUUCAGGUAGUGCAACAAUGCCUGAUUUUAGAGGUUAUGAUCUGUUCUUCCCCAAGUGGGCAUAAGGAGUUGAUUUCGAGCUAGCCUGCCGUGUUGGCUCCUGAAGCUGUUGCUAUUCAAGGUGUUCAACGAAGCACCAGCAUAGAAGCUCACUUGUAAGUCUUAAAAUGCAUGGAUUGUUAAUCAAAAGCUACCAUUGCUAUGGCUCCUGGCACAUGGCAAUAGCCUGAAGAUUGCAUUUGAAAUAUGCCUUCAGCAUAGUUUGCCUUGCCAAACCUGUCAUGCUGUGUGUAGAUACUGGCCCGGUGCUUGCCAAACUUGUCAUUUGAAAUGCCUUAAGCAUAGUUAACUCCAUGGCAUCCUUUUGUUGCCUUUCCCUGCUGAGGAAAGGUUGGGAGUCAUCCCGUACAUUGGGGGUGUCUUGUAAUAACCAUGAUGACAAUUACAUUCUGU
rnacentral:rRNA from 1 species